rnacentral:rRNA from 1 species
GAUGAACGCUGGCGGCGUGCCUAAUACAUGCAAGUCGAGCGAACAGACGAGGAGCUUGCUCCUCUGACGUUAGCGGCGGACGGGUGAGUAACAUGUGGAUAACCUACCUAUAAGACUGGGAUAACUUCGGGAAACCGGAGCUAAUACCGGAUAAUAUAUUGAACCGCAUGGUUCAAUAGUGAAAGACGGUUUUGCUGUCACUUAUAGAUGGAUCCGCGCCGCAUUAGCUAGUUGGUAAGGUAACGGCUUACCAAGGCAACGAUGCGUAGACGACCUGAGAGGGUGAUCGGCCACACGGGAACUGGACCACGGACAAGACUCCUACGGGAGGCAGCAGUCGGGAAUCUUCCGCAAUGGGCGAAAGCUUGACGGAGCAACGCCGCGUGAGUGAUGGAAGUCUUCGGAUCGUAAAACUCGGUUAUUAGGGAAGAACAAAUGUGUAAGUAAAUAUGCACGUCUUGACGGUACCUAAUCAGAAAGCCACGGCUAACUACGUG